AAUCAACGCUGGCGGCGCGCUUAACACAUGCAAGUCGAACGGGAAAGUGGAGCAAUCCAUGAGUACAGUGGCGUACGGGUGAGUAACACGUGGGUGAUCUACCUUUUAGUGGGGAAUAACCCUGGGAAACCGGGGCUAAUACCGCAUAAUCCCGAGAGGGGAAAGCAGCAAUGCGCUGAAAGAGGAGCCCGCGGCCGAUUAGCUAGUUGGCAGGGUAAGAGCCUACCAAGGCAGAGAUCGGUAGCCGGCCUGAGAGGGCACACGGCCACACUGGCACUGAAACACGGGCCAGACUCCUACGGGAGGCAGCAGUGGGGAAUCUUGCACAAUGGGGGCAACCCUGAUGCAGCGACGCCGCGUGAGCGAUGAAGCCCUUCGGGGUGUAAAGCUCUUUCGGCAGGGAAGAUAAUGACGUACCUGCAGAAGCAGCUGCGGCUAACUACGUGCCA
rnacentral:rRNA from 1 species